GGUCCUGAUUGUCCAAACGCAAUUCUUGUCUCCGCUCCACCGAGAGUUGAGUCUGGACAUCAGGAGCC
rnacentral:pre_miRNA from 11 species